rnacentral:rRNA from 1 species
UACGUAGGGUGCCAAGCGUUUGUCCCGGAAUUAUUGGGCGUAAAGAGCUCGUAGGCGGUCUGUUGCGUCGGCUGUGAAAACCCGAGGCUCAACCUCGGGCCUGCAGCCGAUCGGGCAGACUAGAGUUCGGCAGGGGAGACUGGAAUUCCUGGUGUAGCGGUGAAAUGCGCAGAUAUCAGGAGGAACACCGGUGGCGAAGGCGGGUCUCUGGGCCGAUACUGACGCUGAGGAGCGAAAGCGUGGGGAGCGAACAGG